AAUGAAGAACGUAGCGAAAUGCGAUAAGUAGUGUGAAUUGCAGAAUUCAGUGAACCAUCGAAUCUUUGAACGCACAUUGCGCCCGGCAGUAAUCUGCCGGGCAUGCCUGUCCGAGCGUCAUUUCUGCCCUCGAGCGAGUCCAGCAUCUAGGUGCUGGGCCCGCCCGGCGUUGGGGCACUACGGGAAGCCCUGUGCUGUCCCCCGUAGGCCCCGAAAUGAAGUGGCGGUCCUGCCGCGGCGCCCCCUGCGUAGUAUAACAGCUCGCUUCGGGACCCGGUGGAGGCCUGCCGUCAAACCUUACUCUCUAAGUUUGACCUCGGAUCAGGUAGGGUUACCCGCUGAACUUAAGCAUAUCAAUAAGCGGAGGA
rnacentral:misc_RNA from 1 species